GCUUUUUUUUUUUUUUUGGCAGUGCAUAUCCUAAAAUCAGAGUAUAAGAGAGCAGAUUAGCAUGGCCCUUUUUCAAGGAAUAUAUGCCAACUCAUGGAAUAUUUAAAAUAAAA
ensembl:snRNA predicted gene, 23982